rnacentral:lncRNA from 1 species
AAAACAUUUGCCGCAACCUGCACUGGUGCAGCAUGCUCAACAACUUGUACUCUUUCUACGUUAUUUUCCAUGACAUGGACGGAGCGAACUUCAUUUGACUGAUCCAACGAAGUUUGACUUGCCACCACCAUGGGUUCCACACAAUGUUGUGAGGAAUCAUGUGAAUCUAUCAUCUUCCUGUGAUAUACAAAGGAUGAACUUUUCUUUCUCCUAUUUCUUGAAUAUUUCAGUAGUACAUUACAUUUGCGCUUUGUGAGAACUGAAUGAACAGUAUUAUUUACGAUUGAUGUAUCUUUAAGUAAGGAUGAAGUUUUCUUAGCCCUCUUCCUCUUCUUUCUUGAAUAUUUCAAUAUGGCCUUUGUGAGAACUGAAUGCAAAGCAAUGUUCUUAAUCGGAAGCGCCCCCUCUUGCUCGGAGAAAACUGCUUCAGAAGCAUUGUUGUUGAUUGUAUCCUCUAGGCAUUUAUCUCUCUCUACAUUCACCAAAUGAUCUCCCUCAGCAGAAUCAUGAUCGAGCGCCAUACUCGAAUUAUCUCAUCCUACCACAAAUUUACUUGCGCAUUUCACAAAGAACAAAAGAAAUGAUCGAAUUUAAAACCUUGUGUUAAUUUUUUAUUUUUAUUUUUUUACCUUGGACCAACAAUCUAGGCUUAAGAAAUGUUAUGGUUAUUAUUCAGGAUUCUAUGAAUCAAUAAAACUUACAAGUAAACAAAAUAAUAUGAUCCAAUAACACUAACCAAUAAAAAAAAUGACAUUAUCUGAGAGAUUGAGCUUGUUCUUAUCCUUUUCUUUUCAAUUUUCCAAAUUUGCAAAAUGAAAAUAUUGAUUAAUUUAAAGAACGCAGCCAAUAUUUACAGGUAAUUGCAAGUUGUAAAUAAGCUUAUUGUUAACACUAACAUAAACCAAUUUUUAAACUGAAUCUAAAAGAAGGAAGCCUAAUUUUCUCUCUUAUCUUAUUUUCCAAAAAAAAAAAAAACAGAGAGAGACACGAGGUUUAUCAAAGCAAUAGAAAAAUCAAAUGAAACAGAUAACAGUUACCUUCAAAGAAAAAUAAAAUCAAAGAGAAGAGAAGAGAGAAAACCUGAGAGAAAUUGCCGCGAUUUGAAAGUAGAGUGUAAAAUUGGUGAAGAAUUGUUUAAGAAGGGAGGAGGAGGAAAGAUACCAAGUAAAUCAAAAGGAAAGUGAGAAGUCUUGUCG